CUGACACAGGUGCUGCAUGGCUGUCGUCAGCUCGUGUCGUGAGAUGUUGGGUUAAGUCCGUAACGAGCGCAACCCUUGUCCUUAGUUUACCAGCACGUUAUGGUGGGCGACUCUAAGGAGACUGCCGGUGACAAACCGGAGGAAGGUGGGGAGUGACGUCAAGUCAUCAUGGCCCUUACGGCCUGGGCUACACACGUGCUACAAUGGUCGGUACAAAGGGUUGCCAAGCCGCGAGGUGGAGCUAAUCCCAUAAAACCGAUCGUAGUCCGGAUCGCAGUCUGCAACUCGACUGCGUGAAGUCGGAAUCGCUAGUAAUCGUGAAUCAGAAUGUCACGGUGAAUACGUUCCCGGGCCUU
rnacentral:rRNA from 1 species